AGUGGAGGGUGCGCUUGGCGGCGGCGGCGGGAGCUGCGGAGUCGGGAAUCAAAACAAAGGGCCUGGGGGGGCGGGGGGAAGGCGGUGGGGCCGGAAUGUAAGCGAGGUGGAGUGGGCAGCUGAGGGUGGAAGAAUGAAAGAAAAGGAAGAUGAAAGAAUGUUGAACCACUUUGUAUGGCUGUAUGAUGGAAGGAAACGGAACUGAGAACCCCUGCAGUAGAACACUUGGAUGGCUUCGACAAGAUAAUGAUGCUAAGCCAUGGCUUUGGAAAUUCUCUAAUUGUUUUUCUCGUCCUGAACAGACAUUGCCACUUAGCCCCCAAACGAAAGAGUACAUGGAGAACAAGAAAAUUGCUGUGGAAUUAAAGGAUGUACCAUCUCCCCUUCAUGCUGGCUCUAAACUUUUUCCAGCAGUCCCAUUGCCUGAUAUUCAUUCUCUUCAGCAACCUAAAAUACAGCUUUCAACUGUCCCCAAAGUAAGCUGCUGUGCUCAUUGCCCUAAUGAACCGUCCACUUCACCAUUGCAUUUUGGUGGUGGUGGCGGCGGUAGUGGAGGUACUGGUAGCUUGAUUCACCCAGGCGCACGCUUAGACUCACAAAGCACCAGGACAGUCACAUGUCAGGUAGGGUCAGGGUUUGCUUUCCAGUCUGCAUCGUCGCUCCAGAAUGCCUCAGCUAGAAACAGUUUGGCAGGCAUUGCAAGUGACUUCCCCAGCAUGUGUCUAGAGAGUAAUAUAUCUUCUUGCAAACACCUGCCCUGUUGUGGAAAACUCCAUUUCCAGUCAUGGCACAGUAAUGUACACAAGCUGCAUCAGUUUCCAAAUCUCCAGGGCUGCACCUCCGCUGGCUAUUUCCCCUGUUCUGAUUUCACAAGUGGGGCUCCGGGGCAUUUGGAAGAGCACAUUUCACAGUCGGAGCUAACGCCUCACUUGUGCACCAACUCUUUGCACCUAAAUGUGGUACCUCCGGUUUGUUUAAAGGGCUCACUUUACUGCGAAGACUGUCUAAAGAAGCCGGCAAGAAAUAGUAUAACUGAUGCUACUAAAGUCUGGCCAAAUAUACCACCUCCAAAUACUCAACCUGCACCUCUUGCUAUCCCUCUGUGUAAUGGCUGUGGAACCAAAGGAACAGGGAAGGAGACCACGUUGUUAUUGGCGACCAGUCUAGGCAAAGCUGCUUCGAAAUUUGGAUCACCGGAAGUUGCACUAGCUGGACAGGUGCUAGAAAACCUACCCCCUAUUGGAGUUUUUUGGGAUAUUGAAAACUGCUCAGUUCCCUCUGGUCGGUCAGCCACUACUGUUGUACAAAGAAUCCGUGAAAAGUUUUUUAAAGGCCACAGAGAAGCAGAGUUCAUCUGUGUGUGUGACAUCAGUAAAGAAAACAAAGAAGUUAUUCAAGAACUGAAUAAUUGCCAGGUGACCGUUGCUCACAUCAACGCUACUGCAAAGAAUGCUGCUGACGAUAAACUCCGACAGAGUCUACGAAGGUUUGCAAAUACUCACACUGCUCCAGCCACUGUGGUUCUUGUGUCAACUGAUGUCAAUUUUGCAUUGGAACUUAGUGAUCUGAGACACAGGCAUGGUUUCCACAUAAUUUUGGUCCAUAAAAACCAGGCCUCAGAAGCACUGCUGCAUCAUGCUAACGAGCUAAUCAGAUUUGAAGAAUUCAUUUCGGAUUUGCCCCCCAGGUUACCACUAAAAAUGCCACAGUGCCACACUCUGUUGUAUGUUUAUAACCUACCAGCAAAUAAAGAUGGCAAAAGCAUCAGCAACAGGCUCAGGCGACUAUCUGAUAAUUGUGGUGGAAAAGUGCUGAGUAUCACAGGCUGCAGUGCAAUUCUCCGCUUCAUAAACCAAGAUAGUGCAGAACGGGCUCAGAAGCGAAUGGAAAAUGAAGAUGUCUUCGGUAAUAGGAUCAUUGUGUCCUUUACUCCAAAAAAUAGAGAACUCUGUGAAGCAAAGAGUUCAAAUACAAUUGCUGAUAAAGUGAAAUCUCCCAAAAAACUUAAAAAUACAAAAUUGUGCCUCAUCAAAGAUGCAAGUGAACAAUCUUCCAGUGCCAAACCCGUGCCUGGAAAGGGGUCACAGGCAAAUUCUGGUUCUGCUACAAAAAAUACAAAUGUUAAGAGUUUACAGGAGCUGUGCCACAUGGAGUCAAAGACUGGUCAUCGUAACAGUGAGCACCAGCACAGUAAUGCGAGGCUGGCACCACCUCCUCACAGUAACCCAAGCACUACAGGGCAGACACCUAAAAAUUCGGGGAUGGCAGAGUUGCUUUACAAAAGCACCCAGAAAAAAGAGACUCCCAGUUCCCGAAGUAUUACCAGUUCUCCUAUAGAGAAACAAAACAAAGAAGAGACCGUCUUCCAAGUGAGUUACCCGUCUGCUUUUAGCAAGUUGAUUGCAUCAAGGCAAGUCAGUCCUCUGCUCACAUCCCAGUCUUGGUCUCCUAGGAGUUUGUCUCCAAGCCUUUCAAAUAGAGCAUCUCCACUUGCUUUCAACCUUGCCAGUUCCAGCAGUGGAGCCAGCUCCUUGGACCCCUUUGCAAAUGGUGCUGACAUCCAGGUCAGCAACGUAGACUACAGACUGUCCCGGAAGGAGCUGCAGCAGCUCAUCCAGGAGGCAUUUUCCAGGCAUGGCAAGGUGAAGAGUGUUGAGCUCAGCCCCCAUACAGAUUAUCAGCUCAAAGCCACUGUUCAGAUGGAAAACUUACAAGAAGCAAUUGGUGCAGUGAAUAACCUGCACAGAUAUAAAAUUGGCAACAAGAAGAUCCUGGUCUCACUUGCCACAGGAGCUGCUAAUAAAUCACUCUCUUUACUGAGUGCAGAAACAAUGUCUGUUCUUCAGGAUGCUCCUGCCUGUUGUUUGCCUCUUUUUAAAUUUACAGAUAUCUAUGAAAAAAAGUUUGGACACAAGUUGAAUGUGUCAGAUUUAUAUAAAUUAACAGACACAGUCACAAUCCGUGAACAAGGAAAUGGGCGACUGGUGUGUCUCUUACCCAGUAGUCAGGCCCGCCAGAGCCCCCUGGGGUCUUCCCAGUCACAUGACAGCUCAUCCACAAAUUGCAGCCCAAUUAUAUUUGAAGAAUUAGAGUAUCAUGAGCCUGUUUGCAGACAACAUUGUUCUCAUAAGGAUUUCAGUGAACAUGAAUUUGAUCCAGAUUCUUACAAGAUUCCUUUUGUGAUUCUUUGUUUGAAGACAUUUGUACCCCAGGUUCACACUCUCCUCCAGACCCAUGAGGGCACCGUGCCUUUAUUAAGCUUUCCCGAUUGCUAUGCUGCAGAGUUUGGUGACCUAGAGUUAGUGCAGGAAAACCAAGGGGGUGUCCCCUUAGAACACUUCAUCACCUGCAUUCCAGAUGUGAACAUUGCCACUGCUCAGAAUGGCGUCAAAGUGGUGAAGUGGAUUCACGACAAGCCCCCACCUCCCAACACAGACUCUUGGCUACUGCGCUCCAAAAGUCCUGUAGGUAACCCCCAGCUGAUCCAGUUCAGUAGAGAAGUGAUUGACUUACUGAAGAACCAACCGUCUUGUGUCAUACCAAUGAGUAAUUUCAUCCCAGCCUACCACCACCAUUUUGCAAAGCAGUGCCGAGUUUCAGACUAUGGAUAUUCCAAGCUGAUUGAAUUAUUAGAAGCAGUGCCUCAUGUGUUGCAGAUUCUUGGCAUGGGCUCCAAACGUCUGCUGACCCUCACUCACAGAGCCCAGGUGAAGCGCUUUACUCAGGAUUUACUAAAACUUCUCAAAUCCCAGGCUAGCAAGCAGGUCAUUGUGAGAGAAUUCUCACAGGCUUAUCACUGGUGUUUCUCAAAGGACUGGGAUGUCACUGAGUACGGUGUGUGCGAGUUGAUUGAUAUCGUAUCAGAGAUUCCAGACGCAACCAUCUGCUUGUCCCAACAAGAUAAGGACAUGGUGAUUUGUAUCCCCAAAAGAGAACGUACUCAGGAUGAGAUAGAAAGGACAAAACAAUUCUCCAAGGAUGUUGUUGAUUUGUUACGUCACCAACCCCACUUCCGGAUGCCCUUUAACAAGUUUAUUCCCUCUUAUCACCACCACUUUGGCCGGCAGUGCAAACUUGCAUACUAUGGGUUUACCAAGCUACUUGAACUUUUUGAAGCCAUACCCGAUAUUUUACAAGUAUUGGAAUGUGGAGAAGAAAAAAUCCUUACUUUGACAGAGGUUGAACGGUUCAAAGCUCUAGCUGCCCAGUUUGUUAAACUUCUUCGAUCCCAAAAAGAUAACUGCCUUAUGAUGGCAGAUCUGCUUACAGAAUAUGCUAAAACUUUUGGUUACACGUUUCGUCUCCAGGACUAUGAUGUCAGUUCAGUUUCAGCUCUGACACAGAAACUCUGUCAUGUUGUAAAGGUUGCUGAUAUAGAAUCUGGCAAACAGAUUCAGCUGAUCAACCGGAAGUCCCUGCGGUCUCUCACUGCCCAGUUGCUGGUUCUGUUGAUGUCUUGGGAAGGAGCCACCUAUCUUUCUGUGGAUGAGCUCAAGAGACAUUAUGAAACUACCCACAGUUCUCCUCUUAACCCAUGUGAAUAUGGAUUCAUGACCUUGACCGAACUUCUGAAGAGUCUGCCUUACUUAGUUGAGGUUUUUACCAAUGAUAAGAUGGAGGAGUGUGUGAAGCUCACAAGUCUGUAUUUAUUUGCAAAGAAUGUGCGGUCUUUACUUCAUACUUACCACUACCAGCAGAUUUUCCUUCAUGAAUUUUCUGUGGCCUAUACCAAGUAUGUUGGAGAAACACUGCAGCCCAAGACAUAUGGCUACAAUAGUGUGGAGGAGCUCUUGGGAGCAAUCCCACAGGUGGUCUGGAUAAAAGGACAUGGUCAUAAGAGAAUUGUAGUGUUAAAAAAUGACAUGAAAAGCCGGCUGAGUUCACUCGGUCUCUCCCCCGCCAGUCAUGAAAACUACCCUGCAGACGGUGAGCAAAUCCUGGAGGUGCCUGACUUGCACACAGCUUCAGAACCCCAGCUCAGAGCAGGGUCUAGUGAAACGGAUCAAGAGCUUCUCCGCCUGGCCAGCAGCUCCCCUGUUGACCUGCUGUGUGCGCCUGUCCCUUCGUGCCUGCCAUCCCCUCAGCUGAGACCAGAUCCUGUUAUCCUACAGUCCGCUGAUCUAAUUCAGUUCGAGGAACACCCUCAAGAGCCAUCUGGCAUUUGAGAUGUGGAGCUUGGAAAAUCUCAAGCCGGAGGAUCAAAGACAAAUUCGCUGGGAAUCAAACUCAUGACCUCACGCUUGCCAGGCAGGUGCUGUACCACUGAGCUAAAUCCCCAGCCCCUUGCUUGAUGUGUCUAUUCUAGAUUCAAAUAGAGAUCCUCAAGAAGCAGCUUAGCAGUCUGAGCAGAGGAGAGAGGCCUAGGCUACAGAAAGAAUCCAAGGAGCUGUCAGAAUGUAGAAGGCCAUUUGAGAUGUGCAAAGAAUGGAAAAAAUUAGGAGAAAGAAAAGAGCAAAAUGGCAAGAUCCAGUCUCUGAGGCUGAGGGAGCCUUAAGAGGGAUUGAAGACAGGCCCUGUGAGUAGUAGGAAGCGCUCCCAGAGAGUGAAGCAUCAAAACAGUCAUGCAUGUGUCCGUAUCAUACGCUGCAAAGAGCUGGGAAAGCGUGAAGGCUGACAUGUACCAGCUAGACAUACCUGAAUGGCUGCAUUCCUGGUGAAAGGAGUCACUUGCUAGAGAGUGAUAAAAACCAGGUUAAAGUAGCUUCAGGAAGGAUCUGGAGACUGAGAAAGUGGAAAUAGCCAGGGUAUGAAGGGUAAAGAAGGCUGUGAAAAUGGAAUGAAAGGUAGGGCUGUAAAAGGAAAAUAGGAGCCCAGAAAGACCUUGUCUUGGAAUAAAUAAUAAGGGCUGGGAUGUAGUUCAGUGCAAAGGCCCUGGGUUCAAUCCCCAGUGCCACAAAAAAAGGGGGGAUGGAAUAGAAAGUGGUAUUUGUAAAUGAUGGAGGAGAAAGUGUUUAUAAACAUACAAGGAAAGAGAUAGGACUAUCAAGGUAACAGGAGAGAGAGGGAUGAAUGAUACUGUGCCACCAAUUGCCUGUGGGACCUUAGGCCAUGGAUUUAUUGCCGCCUUCUCAUCUGUAAAGAAGAAGUAAUAAUAGGAUCUGUCUUGUCAGGCUGAUAUGAGGAGCAAACGCGCUGAUGUGUGUACAUUACUCAGUGCACAGUGAUGAACUACAAUAGAUGUGACUUCUAUUAAUGUCUUCCUUAGGACUGCCAAAAGAAAUGAGUCUAUGCAUGCAAGAUCCCACAGCCUUCAUGGUUUUCCAGGUUUGCAUGCAGCCCUUAUGAUCUGGGAGCAUCAAGAAUUACUGUUUGCUUCUGCUCUUCUGUGAAAGUCUAAAUAAAUGUUUGUUGUUGAAAAACAUCAAGGGAAUAGCAGGAACAUAAGGUAGGCCCUGUUCCAGGUCUCAGUGGAAGUAUUUUUUUAUGAGAAUCCAGUUACUCCAUGGUCUAGUGAGUGACAGCUCUGUGACUGGUUGUAGGCUAGGCCUCCCUGACCCACAUUUUCCACCAGGAAGAGAGAAGCAGGCGCUUUGCAGCCUGAGUUUUAUUUAUUGUGAGUUCAAGUGGGCAGGAUGUGUAGUGGGUUUAAUAGCAACUCCCCAAAUUCAUGUCUGCCCGGAACCUCAGAAUGUGACCUUGAUUGGAAACAGGGUCUUUGCAGAAGUAAGGUAAAUAGGACCAAGAUGACAGUGUGCUGGAUUAAAGUAGGCCCAAAAUUCAAUGACUUGUGUCCUUGUAAAAUGAGGAAAGGAUGCAAGAGACACAUCAGGAGGAGAAGGCCACCCAAAGAUGGAGGCAGACUAGACCAAUGAAGCCAAGGAAGGCUGAGGAUUUCCAGGAGCCUGGAGCUGGGAAAAGCAAGCAAAUCAUCUUCCCUGCAGCCUUGGGAUGUGAUGCUCUCAGACACCUUGUUGCUUCUGGCCUCCAGAACUGAGACAGGCUGGAUUUCCAUUGUGUGGAGCUCACCCAGGGUGAGCUAAUUUGUUAUGGCAGCCUUGUGACACUCAUUCAGCCCAGCUCUGUGCUUGACCUAGUUAUACAAGGAGCUCAGGCUGUCCAUUGCUUGAGUGGCCUGGGAAGUCUCUUCAGCAUCAGAAUGGCAGAAAGGGUGAGGGCAAAACUUGGACUGAACAGAAACACAUAUGAGACUGUGGAGGCUGAGGCAUGCUGCCCCCGAGAGGAGCCAUCAAACUGAAGCCUCGGGCCCCCAGUCCAAGAUACCAGGGGUCAACUCCAAAGCGACUGUGUGUGGAGACACGUGUGCAUUCACUUGUGAUCUAGAAACAUUUUGAAAAUGCUAUUCAUUGAUAGCCCAAGAAUGUUACUUCUCAGAGAUUAUCUUGGGCUGGGGAUGUAGUUCAGUUGUAGAGCACUUGCCUGACAUCUAAAACUCUGGGUUCAAUCCCAAGCACUAAAAGGGGAAAAAAAAGAGGAAAGAGUUUAUCUUAAGGAAAAAUCCAAUUCAGAUGAAGUGUUAUCUCUUCAAGAUAUUUAUCAUAACAUUGUCAUAAUGCUGAAAACAAGAAACUCUCUAAAUGUGAGUCCAGUAGUGAGGGAAUGAUGACGGGUGACAGUGUGAUCACAAGAUGGAUUACUCAGCAGCCAUUCUGAACAUUUAGGAAGAGUGUUUAAUGUUUAUAGAGAUCUUUUAAUAAUGAGAGGAGACUGUAGUGAUACCAUGUUAAGUGGGGGAAAAUCUUGUUAUAAAAUGGUACAACAUGAUGCCAAUCAAGAAAACCAAAAUGCUUAAAAAACACUUCAAGGAAACAUGCCAAAAGGUUAGAGGUCUCUAGUUAGAGGACUCAUGGGUGUUAAAAAAAACUUCUUUAUGCUUUGUAUACUUUUAAAAUUAUUUACUAUAUACACGAAUUACUUCCAUAAUCAAGAAAAAAGUAAAAACUUUUAAAAUGC